rnacentral:rRNA from 1 species
UACGGGGGGAGCAAGCGUUGUUCGGAUUUACUGGGCGUAAAGGGCGCGUAAGCGGCCACCGCAAGUCGACUGUGAAAUCUCCGGGCUUAACCCGGAAAGGUCAGCCGAUACUGCGGGGCUAGAGUGCAGAAGGGGCAACUGGAAUUCUCGGUGUAGCGGUGAAAUGCGUAGAUAUCGAGAGGAACACCUGCGGCGAAGGCGGGUUGCUGGGCUGACACUGACGCUGAUGCGCGAAAGCUAGGGGAGCGAACGGG